GCAGCCCCUUCCUCUCAUUUCCUGCAUCAGGUGCUGAGCCUCCAUCGUCCUCACGCCGUCGUUUUCAGAGGGAGCGGUGGAGUCGCUGGGUCUGAGCCCAGAGAGCUGCUUCAUCAAACCUGACAGCUGUUCAACGUUUGGACCCAGGUGUUUCACAGCGGCGCUGUGGCGCCCGACCGCGCUCUGGAAACGAGGGGCGGUAAACAGGCACAUAUGGAGUUCAAGCGCGACGGAGGCCGAGCCCUUUGGCCCUUUUCAUCCACCUCUACCUUCACUGCAGCGGUGUCUGCGUUCAGCCUGUUCAGCCUCAGCAGCGAACCAGAACCUUGACCGGGGUUCUGCAGGCGCCGUUGCAGCGACGCCAGGCCGUCAUCCGGCUCCUCCGCGUUGGCGAGCGAAGCAGCGGAGCAGCCGUCGCAUCCUGUCGAGCACGAACAGGCAGCAGACCAGACAAAGACAGUUGUUACCUCCGCCACAGAACCCGUUGCUUGGCUGCCGGGUGAUGGAUCGCAGACCCUGCCGGUGCCGUGCGUCUUCUGCCGGAUCCGACCGGUUCUGUCACGUCUGUGCUUUGGAUCUGUC